rnacentral:rRNA from 1 species
UACCCGCUGAACUUAAGAUAUNAAUAAG